AAUUAUAGAAUAAAAUUCCCACCUACUCCAAGUUUGCAAGAGUUCAUACUUGUUUUAUUAUGUUAAAUUUUGUGGUGAUGACAGUCAUUGACUGUAAAAGUAUACUCAUUCCUUCCAUCUUCUCUGUACUCUAGUAUUACUGCUUCUGAUCUUAUCCACAUCAGAUGCAGCAAAGCUGCUGUUUUUGUUUUCAAUUCAUUAUCACAAUGGUGCGAGUGCUUCUUAUGAACUAGGCAGUUUUCAAGUUUGGUGCAUUAUAAUCUAUAACUUGAUGUUUAACCCAGAAAAACAUAGUGCACAUUCACACACAUGUAUACUUAAUUUUAUUUACAAAUUUAAUUCAUAUCAUAUGUGCAAUUGACAACAUGCUGAUUAAAUUCCUUACAGGAUCCAUAUAUACUGUGCUGGG
rnacentral:misc_RNA from 1 species